rnacentral:rRNA from 1 species
GAUGGAACUCGCUUCCUGAGCUGACGACAGCCGCAGAAACCAGGCCGCUGCAACUGUUUAUUAAAAACAUAGCACUCUGCAAACACGAAAGUGGACGUAUAGGGUGUGAUGCCUGCCCGGUGCUGGAAGGUUAAUUGAUGGGGUUAGCGUAAGCGAAGCUCUUGAUCGAAGCCCCAGUAAACGGCGGCCGUAACUAUAACGGUCCUAAGGUAGCGAAAUUCCUUGUCGGGUAAGUUCCGACCUGCACGAAUGGCAUAAUGAUGGCGGCGCUGUCUCCAGCAGAGGCUCAGUGAAAUCGAAAUCGCUGUGAAGAUGCAGUGUACCCGCGGCUAGACGGAAAGACCCCGUGAACCUUUACUGCAGCUUGACACUGAACUUUGACCUUACUUGUGUAGGAUAGGUGGGAGGCUUUGAAGCUGGAACGCUAGUUCCAGUGGAGCCGUCCUUGAAAUACCACCCUGGUAAUGUUGAGGUUCUAACUCUGUCCCGUGAUCCGGGACGAGGACCGUGUCUGGUGGGUAGUUUGACUGGGGCGGUCUCCUCCUAAAGAGUAACGGAGGAGUACGAAGGUGCGCUCAGCGUGGUCGGAAAUCACGCGUAGAGUAUAAAGGCAAAAGCGCGCUUAACUGCGAGACCCACAAGUCGAGCAGGUACGAAAGUAGGUCUUAGUGAUCCGGUGGUUCUGUAUGGAAGGGCCAUCGCUCAACGGAUAAAAGGUACUCUGGGGAUAACAGGCUGAUACCGCCCAAGAGUUCAUAUCGACGGCGGUGUUUGGCACCUCGAUGUCGGCUCAUCUCAUCCUGGGGCUGAAGCAGGUCCCAAGGGUAUGGCUGUUCGCCAUUUAAAGAGGUACGCGAGCUGGGUUUAGAACGUCGUGAGACAGUUCGGUCCCUAUCUACCGUGGGCGCUGGAAAUUUGAGAGGAUCUGCUCCUAGUACGAGAGGACCAGAGUGGACGAACCUCUGGUGUACCGGUUGUGACGCCAGUCGCAUCGCCGGGUAGCUAUGUUCGGAAGGGAUAACCGCUGAAAGCAUCUAAGCGGGAAGCCUACCUCAAGAUAAGAUUUCCCUAGGACUUUAUGUCCUCUAAAGAGCCGUUCGAGACUAGGACGUUGAUAGGUUGGAUGUGGAAGCAUAGUGAUAUGUGAAGCUGACCAAUACUAAUUGCUCGUGAGGCUUGACUAU